AGUGUCAUGUGGACGUGGUCAGCAGACGCGACUGGUUCACUGUAUGCAUCAGAAGUACAGAAAGCUUGCCACUAACUGUGACCAGACUGUCAAGCCUCUAGCGAAACAGAGCUGCUUUCAGAAAAAAUGUUUGGAUCCAGGUCCUUCGUGUUUUGACGAGUUUUCAUGGUGUCAUCUCGUGCCGAAACACAAUAUCUGUAAUCAUUCUUUCUACGGGACCAAGUGUUGUCUCUCUUGUCACAAAAGAUGAUGAUUGCUUCCUUUAGAUAUUUAGCGACAGUGUACUUAUAAACUGCAUAUUGAUGGAAACUCGCAUUAUUUUCUUAUUAUAUCAUUAUUUAUGCAAUUCUUCUAUGAUUCAAUACUCAAACAGUGCCAAGCAAUUUGUUGUAAGAAUAGAUUAAAGUUUAGCAAAAUU